UGGGGAAUAUUGCACAAUGGGGGAAACCCUGAUGCAGCGACGCCGCGUGAACGAAGAAGGUAUUCGUAUCGUAAAGUUCUGUCCUAUGGGAAGAUAAUGACAGUACCAUAGAAGAAAGCUCCGGCUAAAUACGUGCCAGCAGCCGCGGUAAUACGUAUGGAGCGAGCGUUGUCCGGAAUUAUUGGGCGUAAAGGGUACGCAGGCGGUUUAAUAAGUCGAAUGUUAAAGAUCGGGGCUCAACCCCGCAAAGCAUUGGAAACUGAUAAACUUGAGUAGUGGAGAGGAAAGUGGAAUUCCUAGUGUAGUGGUGAAAUACGUAGAUAUUAGGAGGAAUACCAGUAGCGAAGGCGACUUUCUGGACACAAACUGACGCUGAGGUACGAAAGCGUGGGAAGCAAACAGG
rnacentral:rRNA from 1 species